rnacentral:rRNA from 1 species
GCGCAGCAGGCGCGAAUCCUUCGCAAUGCAGGAAACUGCGACGAGGGAACUCCAAGUGCCUACGCUCAGCGUAGGCUGUUCUCAAGCCUAGAAAGCUUGGGGAGUAAGGGCUGGGUAAGACGGGUGCCAUCUGUGGUAGCAGUCAAUAGAUUCGAUUUGUUACUGCAAGGCAUAAGCCGCCGCGGUAAUACCCGCAGCCCAAGUGGUGGCCGCUUUUAUUGGGCCUAAAGCGUCCGUAGCCGGCCCGGUAAAUGCCUGGGUAAAUCGUGGAGCCCAACUUCACGAAUUCCGGGUAGACUGCCGAGCUCGGGACCGGAAGAGGGAGAGGGUACUUCGAGGGGGUAGGGGUGAAAAUUUCCGUUUCCAUUAACGCUUUUGCGCGAAGCGGAAAGGGUUAUCACAAUUCUGUAAUCCCUGGAGGACCACCCGUGGCGAAGGCG